GCAGUAGCCGCGGUAAUACGAAGGGGGCUAGCGUUGCUCGGAAUGACUGGGCGUAAAGGGCGCGUAGGCGGAUGUGUCAGUCGGACGUGAAAUUCCUGGGCUUAACCUGGGGGCUGCGUUCGAGACGGUUCAUCUAGAGUUUGGAAGAGGGUCGUGGAAUUCCCAGUGUAGAGGUGAAAUUCGUAGAUAUUGGGAAGAACACCGGUGGCGAAGGCGGCGACCUGGUCCUGGACUGACGCUGAGGCGCGAAAGCGUGGGGAGCAAACAGGAUUAGAUACCCGUGUAGUCCCUGUCUCUUAUAC
rnacentral:rRNA from 1 species